rnacentral:lncRNA from 1 species
AAUAUCUGGAAUCAGAACUUUAAAUUGUAACUUUCUAAAUUUUUUUUCCUCUGUCCUCAGGAAGUUGAUGACCACGUGGCAUUUUUAAUAACGGUUCCAACCGCCCUGGCCAUUUUCUUUGCGAUAUUCAUCCUUGUCUGCAUCGAGUCUGUGUUUAAGAAGCUGCUUCGCCUUUUCUCUUUGGUGAUAUGGAUAUGUCUCGUGGCCAUGGGAUAUUUGUUCAUGUGUUUUGGAGGGACCGUCUCCCCCUGGGACCAGAAGCCUCCAGGGACCAGGGAAGCCCACCUUCCUUGGUUCCCAUCCUUCUCCAACCCAAGGCCUUUGUGCCCUCCCUGUUGCUUCUCCCACCAUUUUCUUCACAUGCGCUGCACUCCAACCUGACACGGCUGCUUACCACGGACUCUGGUUAUUGCCUUCUGCCUUCAUGCCGGUGCACACCAGACCUACUGGGUCUGGACUUACUGCCAUGAGGGGUGUGUCCUAGUUGUCCCUUUCCUUACACCAACACAGCAUUGCUUUAGUAAUGUAGCUCUAUAAGAAGCCUUGCUAUCUGGAAGGGCAAGUACCCCCUACUUUUUCUGUUGCCCAGAAUUUUCUUAGUAGGCUUUUCUGUGUGAAUUAAAAAAUCAGUUUGUCAUGUUCAGUGAAAAUUCUAGUUGGAAUCUGUAUUGGAAUUAUAUAGAAUUAUAUAGACUUUCUGAACUUUUGCUUUGAAAAAUACUAAAAAUCUAGGACAUAAUAAAAGGAUGCUGUACUGGGUCGAAUCAUUUCCUCCCCCGUCCCUGUCCACUUGGAACCUCAGAAGGUGACUUGUGUGGACAUGGAGUUUUUGCAGAUGUGAUUAGUAAAGUUAAAAUGAGGUCAUGCUAGAUUACAGCAGGCCCUAAAUCCACUAUGACUGGUGUCCUGAUAUGAAGAGGAAAAUUUGGACACAGGCACAGAUGUGAGGACAGAUGCCCUGUGACAACAGGGGCAGCCACCGGGGUCCUGGUGCCACAAGUCAAGGAAUGCCUGAGGCCACCGGAAGCUGGAGGAGGUGAGAAAGCCUCGUGCUCUGGAGGUGGGGAUGAACGUGGCUCUUCCAACUCUUGGUGCUGGACUUCUGGCCUCCAGAAUAUGAAAGAAUGACUUUCUGCUGUUUGAAACCAUCUAGUGUGUCAUAAUUUGUUUGGACAGUCCUGGAAAAUUAAUACAGAUAUUAUUAAAAAUGUCCAGAGUUUUGACAUAUUUUUGUAUUGAGUCUUCCCAUCUAAUAAUAAAGUAUGUCCCUCCAC